AGUGAACGCUGGCGGUAGGCCUAACACAUGCAAGUCGAACGGCAGCACAGUAAGAGCUUGCUCUUACGGGUGGCGAGUGGCGGACGGGUGAGGAAUACUUCGGAAUCUACUUUUUCGUGGGGGAUAACGUAGGGAAACUUACGCUAAUACCGCAUACGACCUACGGGUGAAAGCAGGGGAUCUUCGGACCUUGCGCGAUUGAAUGAGCCGAUGUCGGAUUAGCUGGUUGGCGGGGUAAAGGCCCACCAAGGCGACGAUCCGUAGCUGGUCUGAGAGGAUGAUCAGCCACACUGGAACUGAGACACGGUCCAGACUCCUACGGGAGGCAGCAGUGGGGAAUAUUGGACAAUGGGCGCAAGCCUGAUCCAGCCAUACCGCGUGGGUGAAGAAGGCCUUCGGGUUGUAAAGCCCUUUUGUUGGGAAAGAAAAGCAGCAGGUUAAUACCCCGCUGUUCUGACGGUACCCAAAGAAUAAGCACCGGCUAACUUCGUG
rnacentral:rRNA from 1 species